rnacentral:rRNA from 1 species
CGUGUAGGCGGCUUGUUAAGUCUUGUGUGAAAUCUCGGGGCUCAACCCCGAGCGGUCAUGAGAAACUGGCAGGCUAGAGUGCGGGAGAGGAGAGUGGAAUUCCUGGUGUAGCGGUGAAAUGCGCAGAUAUCAGGAAGAACACCCGUGGCGAAGGCGGCUCUCUGGAACGCAACUGACGCUGAGAGCGAAAGCGUGGGGAGACAACG